rnacentral:rRNA from 1 species
UUACCUACGGGGGGCAGCAGUGAGGAAUAUUGGUCAAUGGGCGCAAGCCUGAACCAGCCAUCCCGCGUGCAGGAAGACGGCCCUAUGGGUUGUAAACUGCUUUUCCAGGGAGAGAAACUUGCGUACGCGUUGCGCAAUUGACGGUACCCUGGGAAUAAGCAUCGGCUAACUCCGUGCCAGCAGCAGCGGUAAUACGGAGGAUGCGAGCGUUAUCCGGAUUCAUUGGGUUUAAAGGGUGCGUAGGCGGACUAUUAAGUCAGUGGUGAAAUCCUGCAGCUUAACUUCAGAACUGCCAUUGAUACUGAUAGCCUUGAGUUUGGUUAAGGUAGGCGGAAUGUGUAAUGUAGCGGUGAAAUGCUUAGAUAUUACACAGAACACCAAUUGCGUAGGCAGCUUACUGAGCCGACACUGACGCUGAGGCACGAAAGCGUGGGGAUCGAACAGGAUUAGAUACCCCUGUAGUCCG